GGCGAACGGGUGAGUAAUGAUCGGAACGUGCCCAGUAGCGGGGGAUAACUACGCGAAAGCGUAGCUAAUACCGCAUACGCCCUACGGGGGAUAGCAGGGGAUCGCAAGACCUUGCACUAUUGGAGCGGCCGAUAUCGGAUUAGCUAGUUGGUGGGGUUACGGCUCACCAAGGCGACGAUCCGUAGCUGGUUUGAGAGGACGACCAGCCACACUGGGACUGAGUCACGGCCCAGACUCCUACGGGGGCAGCACUGGGGAAUUUUGGACAAUGGGGGAAACCCUGAUCCAGCCUUCCCGCGUGUGCGAUGAAGGCCUUCGGGUUGUAAAGCACUUUUGGCAGGAAAGAAACGUCGCGGGUUAAUACCCCGCGAAUCUGACGGUACCUGCAGAAUAAGCACCGGCUAACUACGUGCCAGCAGGCGCGGUAAUACGUACGGUGCAAGCGUUAAUCGGAAUUACUGGGCGAAAAGCGUGCGCAGGCGGUUGGAAAGAAAGAUGUGAAAUCCCAGAGCUUAACUUUGGAACUGCAUUUAUAACUACCGGGCUAGAGUGUGUCAGAGGGAGGUGGAAUUCCGCGUGUAGCAGUGAAAUGAGUAGAAAUGCGGAGGAACACCGAUGGCGAAGGCAGACUC
rnacentral:rRNA from 1 species